rnacentral:rRNA from 1 species
UACAGAGGGUGCAAGCGUUGUUCGGAAUUAUUGGGCGUAAAGGGCGCGUAGGCGGUGCGGUAAGUUGGGAGUGAAAUCUCUGGGCUUAACUCAGAGGCUGCUUUCAAAACUGCCGCGCUCGAGUGCGAGAGAGGUCAGUGGAAUUGCAGGUGUAGCGGUGAAAUGCGUAGAUAUCUGCAGGAACACCCGUGGCGAAGGCGGCUGACUGGAUCGCAACUGACACUGAGGAACGAAAGCUAGGGGAGCAAACAGG